rnacentral:rRNA from 1 species
UACGUAGGGGGCAAGCGUUGUCCGGAAUCAUUGGGCGUAAAGCGCGCGUAGGCGGCUCGUCGCGUCGACCGUGAAAACCCGCGGCUUAACUGCGGGCUUGCGGUUGAUACGGGCGGGCUAGAGUUCGGUAGGGGAGACUGGAAUUCCUGGUGUAGCGGUGAAAUGCGCAGAUAUCAGGAGGAACACCGGUGGCGAAGGCGGGUCUCUGGGCCGAUACUGACGCUGAGGAGCGAAAGCGUGGGGAGCGAACAGG